AUUGAACGCUGGCGGAAUGCUUUACACAUGCAAGUCGAGCGGCAGCGCGGGGCAACCUGGCGGCGAGCGGCGAACGGGUGAGUAAUGCAUCGGAACGUACCCCGUCGUGGGGGAUAACUACCCGAAAGGGUAGCUAAUACCGCAUACGACCUGAGGGUGAAAGCGGGGGACCGAAAGGCCUCGCGCGAUGGGAGCGGCCGAUGCCGGAUUAGCUAGUUGGUAGGGUAAAGGCCUACCAAGGCGACGAUCCGUAGCUGGUCUGAGAGGACGACCAGCCACACUGGAACUGAGACACGGUCCAGACUCCUACGGGAGGCAGCAGUGGGGAAUUUUGGACAAUGGGCGAAAGCCUGAUCCAGCCAUUCCGCGUGAGUGAAGAAGGCCUGGUGUAAG
rnacentral:rRNA from 1 species